GGAUUUUCACCUUCUCGUAAAUCAGAAGAUUUGAAAUCAUGGUCCCCCAUCUGCUCGUGGAACUAUCCCCGUCAGAUUGGGCACAUGACCCCAUUCACCACAGUCCCACCUCACUCUGUGGCUUCCCUCUUGCCCCACGUUACCCGUUUAUGUGCUUCCAGUCGACUAAGCAGGUGCACUGAGCAGUCCUGAGGGGACAGCUGGGCCUCUGCACCAUCCGAGGAGAAGGCAGGCCCAACCAUCUCAUAGGCUGACGUAGAACCAGGAAGGUCAGUUGGGACACUGAGACACCGGGAAAUGCCACCCCUAGUGUACAUCCUGCUUGUUGCUGGGCUGGAGGGGGACACUGCGCUGAGCCUUCAAGGCCAUGUUCCAUGACUGCUUCAGGACCAGGCCCCCCACCUCCCUAGCAAGAGGGGCUUCGUGGGGAAGGUAGGCCCUGCCUGGGCAUGGAAGGGAACCAGAAAAUCUUUGAAGGCAGGGCUAUCCAGUUAGAGACAGCACCCUGCCACCUAUCAGAGCACCUGGCAUGCAGCAGGUGUCAUAAAGGGAGGCCUCUCCACAGUUCUGGGAAACUGGAGGGAGUAGGCACACCUAUUGGUCUGGAGGUGGGAGACCUCAGCUAGCCUUAUCUCACUGCUGGUCCAGGACCCACUGGGGCCUCAGUCUCCUCCUCUGUCCCUGGUUCCAGGCCUGACAUUUUGUGUCUCCGGGUGGAGCCCUGGGAAAUCCCUUGGAGGCAGCAGAGAAUCUACUCCUCUUGCCAUCCGCCCCUUCCCAGCCGGGACCAGCUGUGGGUGGAGAAGACCUGGGCGGAGGGCCUGCUCCUCCAAAUAAGAGGAAAAACUCGUGACUCAGGGAAAGGCAGAAGUUGACUCAGCCAAGCCACAAGCUGUGGAAAAAAUGAGCGCUCCCCGAGGCUUUUGUGUGUGUGUGUGUGUUUGUUUUGUUUUGUUUUGUUUUGUUUUCCUCCUGGGGUAAGAAACCCUUUCUGAGGGAAAGCUGGAUUCCAGAGUUCUGGAACCAGGCUUUCAGGAAACUGCCAAGGCUCACAAUUUUCAGGUUAGGAGUUCUGGCAAUCAGCUCGGUGGACAAUGCCAGAAAUUUAUAUUGGCUCUUUUUCUUAAGUUUUGUCUAAGUGCCUAGUACUGUGAGCUAAAUACUUCAUAUUAUCUUAUGUCUCCUCAGCCUAGACCUGUCAUCCUCUGCAUUGGACUUGAGAAAGUGAGGCAGACACAAAGUAUUUAGGGCGAAGGAUCUGGACCAGCACAAAUGUUGCAGAAAGAGGAAGGGAAAACACAUGGGGCAAAGUAGAAACAGGUGCUGACGCCAGGUCAGGGGUCAGCAGAAUUUCUAUAAAGGGUCAAAUAAUCAACAGUUCAGUGUCUGUGUGCCCAGACCUCUGGCAACAAUGCAGCUCCGCUGUUGCACCGAGAGCAGACCUAGAUGGGCGCCUGCCCGUGAGCGAGCUUCACUCAGCGACGCUGACGUCCGACUGUCUGAUCAGGUUCAUGUGUUAUGAAACUUCAUUCUCAUUUUCACUUUUUCCCCAGCCACUUAAAAAUAUAAAAGCCAUUGUUAGCUCACGGGUCAUGCAAAAACAGGCUGGAGGCAGGAGUAUGCUGCCCCCUGACUUACAGAUGUCCGUCAUUAUUCCUUACAACACUUCUCCUUUGAAAAUAUUCAAACAGAAAGUUGGGCAAACAAGUAAAUAAAAAAGAAAAGAAAAGAAAAGAAAAGAAAGAAACAGUGGUUGUCCUACUUCUCAUGGCCAGGUCAUGAACUUGACUUCAAGUUGGUUCACUUCCGGCGAUUCUGCACGCUGCUUGCUUUAUCAGUGACACACCUGAGGCUGAGUCUGCAAGCCGCGGAGAUGUGGACAUUAGGAAAGAUUUCUCAUGCAAUGGUUAGGAGGAUUAAUUUUAAAGGAGGAGCCCCUGGGAGGUUUGUAACUGCUGGAUUUUUUUUUAAAGGAUGUUGGGUUUUGGAUUGCUGAAGUAUCAGAUUUGAAACAGAGGAAACCUGCACUCUGUGCAACCACUGAAUAGCCGUGGCUUCCCCUCCCCCCACCUGCCUCUGCUGUGUCGAUAUUUACUCCUUCCUGUGCGUGUGUGUGCCCAUGCGUGUCGCUCCAAGUCUGCACCUCCUUGUCACGUUUGCGGGCAUUGUAGACCCGUUUCCCAUCGUGGGUGUCCCUGUGAGGCUCUGACCAGGCCAAAGGGAAAAACCAGAAACACGAGAAGAGAAACACUGCCCUUUGAAAAACACUUCAGAUGGAUGAAAUAAAUGUUGCAUUAAAGAUAAUCUUCAGAAUGAUUUAUUCACACCUACUUUCUUGAAGAGGGUAAAGCCGAGAGGCCUCUGAUAGCAGGGGAUUGUGAGGUUCCAUCUGGGUCAUGCAUUCAUUCCACAGUUCCUGGACAUUGUGCAUGGCCAAGCGGUGGAGGCAGAGAUCAGUGGGGCAGGGCCUCUGCCCUUGGGAGGCUCGCAGUGGAUCAGGGUACAGAAUUGUGAGAAUAUGUUCAUCCAUGAGGAGCCAGAACUGCUCACCCCGAGCAGAGGGCAUCUCAGGGGAGAACUUCUGGGUUGGAUACCACAUCUUGGAGCACAAUUUUGGCACCAAAAAGUCAGUCCUUGUGGCCUGACUGGCAAAGAACUCUUCAUGUGCUGCAUUUAAGGCAAGACAGGAAUUUUAGGGACCGGGAGGAUGGAAGCUAGAGAGAGAAAAGGAGGCCCAGCUCGUGGUGUGGGAGAGGUCAGCGGAGGCUUUCUGGCUGAGGAGUGGGCCUGGGGCAGCUGAGAAAGGCUUCCAAGGACAGGGGUGGGUGAUAUUCCAUUUGAAUUACUUGCUGGACUGCCCGAGAUGCCCCACGUUUCGGGCCGUCACCCCUCAAAGCUUCACGAAAUCCACACCUUUGCUGGCAGAUGCGAAUGAUUAUAUACAACUUCCACGGCGGCCAAUGUGGCAACAUCUGUCACUUUGAGAAAGGCACAGGCCUUUCUGUCCCGCUAGUGUUCUCCUAGAAACUUAUUCUUAGACAUUAUUGUAUUUGUGCAAAAGGAUAUAUGCUCAUAUGUAUUCAUUGCAGCUUCACUUACCAUAGGAAAUAAUGGGACAGCCUAAAUAUCCAUGGACAGAGAGCUAGUUAAAUCAUGGACCUCCACAACGUGGCAGGGCUCAGUGCAGUGAAAGGGAGGAAGGCAGGAACCUAUGACCCGAUGUGGAAGGAUUUCCAGGACCUAUUGAGCGAAAAGGUGACCCUGUGUAACCAGCAGAGAUUGUGGAGAUGACCGCCUGUGACAGUCCACCCUUCAGUCUUGCUGUCUUGGAUCACUGGCUUCAGGGGAAGGCAGCUCCUUGGACCUGAGCUUGGUCGAGCAGCCCUGGGGAGAUGGCCGCCUAGUGAGAAACCUUUGCAGCAGCUGGCCAACCCUGUGAGGGAUCAUGGUGGAUGGAUGUUUCAGAAGCUGCUUUUCCAUGCCAAGACCCUACUUCAUCCAGGCUGCUCCCAGCCGAUGUCUGAGCAUGCAGGGUGCCAAUACUGGUCUGUUCCCGUGAGAUAUGGGACCUUGGGCGAUGUAUUAGUUUGGGCUGCUGUCACAAGUUAUAGACAGGGGAGCUUAAGAAGUAAAAAAAAUAUAUCUGACCCUCCUGGAGGCUGGAAGUCUGAGAUCGGGUGCCAUCAUGGUUUAGUUCUGGAAGAGCCUUCGUCUGGGCUGUAGACUGUCGUCUCUUCCUUGUACCCUCACAUGGGGGAGAGGGCUAGUUAGCUCUCUGCCCUCUUCUCAUGGGGGCACUAAUCCCAUUCAUGAGGGCUCCACCCUCAUGACCUGUGUACCUCUGAGAAGACCAGAUCUUAUCACAUUGAGAUUAGGUCUCAACGUAUGAAUUUUAGAGGCGACACACUUAGUUCAUGUCAGGCUAUGUUGGCUUGGGGAUUCCCCCAUUAGCCUGGUGAAGCUUCCCUGGCACUGUUCUGAAGUUUGAGACUUUUUCUACCCAGCUCUUCUUUCUUCCUCUCUUUCUGGAUGUCCCACUAGCAGAGUAGUCUGCAGGCUCUCCCUAACUUUCCUGGAAACCUCUUCUUUAUCCUUCAUGGUCUUCCUUCCAAUUCAUGGGCUGCAUGUCUGCUCCCAUCUUAGUGUCUGCUUAUUGGAAGACCCCAACUAGACACAGAUGUACCAGUGGUCCCCCCACCACCCAAGACCCCAGCCUCCAGACUCUUCAACAUCUCCAGACUCUCUGUCUCUGCUCUGCCCUCCUUUUGCUUCCUGUUUUCAAACCCUCACCUCUCUUCUCCUUUACACUUGAGGUAAUGGAAAAGCAUUAAUUUCUCUUCACAUCUCAGGGAAACUUUUUUCUCUUUUUUUUAAUUAGAAUUUUUUAAAAAUUAGUUUUUAAUUUUAUUUUUUAAAUGAGAUAUAAUUGACAUAUAAUAUUGUUAUUUUCAGGUGUACAACAUAAUGAUUCAAUAUUUGUAUAUAUUGUGAUCAAUAUACUGAGUCCCACCUCUUUACUUUUAUUUUUGUUUACUUUGGUUUUGGUGUCAGAUACAAGAAAUCAUCACCAAGACUGAUAUCAAGGAGCUUAGCACCCGUGUUUCCUUCUAGGACUUCCAUGGCUUCAGGUCUUACAGUCAAGUCCUUAAUCCAUUUCGAGUUAAUUUUCAUUUAUAGUAUAACACAGAGGUCUAGUUUCAUUCUUUUGCAUGUGUCUGCCAAGCUUUCCUACACCAUUUAUUAAAGAGAUUGUUUUUCCUGCA